CAAGGAGGGUCAGGGCUUGAGGGACAUGAGUGGCACUUUAGGCAGUAGGUGCCUAGGGCACCUUAGAGCUCUGCAGCAUGUGCCUUCGAGUUAAGGAUGAGGAGCCUGCACAAGUCUACCCAGUGAGUUCUCUGAGGUCUUUCACUAUAUUCCGCCCUAGGUUUGCAACCCCAUGCAGUCAGCUCCAGCCAUGCAAGGUUCCAACUCGGGGACUGGGAUUUAGAAGUCCUGAGUGAACAGACUAGAUCCUAGGCUGGAAGGACCACGAAGGCACCAUCCUUCAGAUGUUUCUACCAGGCAGUCUGUGGAAAAACGUAUCAAUUACAUGCAAAACCUACAGAAAGAGAAGAGGAAAUUGGGGAAAAGGUUCGCAAGGCCUAACCCGAUUCCGGAUACAGGCAUCUUGGUAAGCGUGCGGCUCUCACAGCAAUGGGCAGUGUUUGCAUGCUCCUGACAACUUCUUUUCUAAUGCAUCUGAUUGCUCUUUAAUAUUCUCUGGAAAGAUUUGGAAUGCCAGUCUGGAGAGACCCUGUAAAAUUCCUCUCACCAAAUUCCCAUUGUUUACAUUUAUUUAGAAACCGUCUCCUGAUAAUGACGCGUAGUUGAUCUUCGAAGCCAUAUGUGGACAUAAGCUUGGAGUCUUCUAGAAGAAACCACGCUCCAGACCAAAAUAUGUGUGGACUUCUGAUACUGGCCAACAGCUCAUGGCUUAACUUCAUCUGAAAAAUAAAGGAAUGUGUGGCCAUUCUGCAAAAUAAAAACUGAGCUUGCAGUAACAUUCAGGCUGUGGGCUUCUGA
rnacentral:lncRNA from 1 species